UCCCUCAGGCAGGGAGGGUGUGGGGAGUCGGAUAGGAGCGGCUGAUGCAGGCGGGUGGAAACUCAGUCAUUCUGGGGUAGUCAGCGUGUCCCCUUCCCAAACGCUGUUAUUUGCGCAGGACAGGAGUCCUGUAUCGUACAGGAGGGAGAGGGGACAUGGAGGCUUCCAAAAGCAGCACUGGUUAGUCAGCAAUAGCUCUCUAAAUAUUUUACGUGAGACUGAAGUGUGCAACUGCUUUUCCACUUACCACUGCUGUUAUAAGGCAUUAGUGAGGAACAGAGAGGUGUAGAGGUAUGUCUAACUCCCAAGAGAAUUUCUGCCUGCUCCCUUUUCAGCUGUAUGGAUUGUUGCUUGGAGGCCCUCAUAUGUUUACUAACUCUGAUGCUCCCCCAUUCAGCUUCAGAAAAAGAUGCACAGUAUCUGCAUCUUUUCUUUGGCAAAGUCCUAGGAGCACAGCUGAUAACACAAAAAUCUUGGAACUGAGCAUCUGCUAUUUGAGAUGCAGGCAUGCAGCAUGGGACACAGAAGUACUUUGCCUCUCCUUAUUUUAUGGCUUGGUUCCAUGAACUGCUGAGAGAAGACAAACCUUGCUUGCUGUUACAGAAACAGGAAUCUGAAUGGGUGGAAAACCUACUGUCAUCAACACGGUGCUUCCUCUGCUGAUGGAGAGCACCCAUAUUCAGGUCUUGGUCCUGACUUGCUGGGAAUGUGUGUUGGACACCACAGAUAAAAGGAUUUAUCAUGAAGGAACACUACAGUGUGAGCAGCUGGAGUGGAUAGCUUAAUUCACAGAACAUGGAGGCUUCAUCAACAACAUGAAUUUAGGAAUCUUUGGAGAGACUAAUUUGGCUGAACUGAGGACUAGACUUUAGGAUGCAGAGGAACCUGCAAUGUCCAAAGGAGGAAACUGGUUGUUCCUUGCAACAGAUUGUUCUCCCGCAUUCAAGUCCUAUCCCCAUUAAGCUGAAGAAUCCUCGAGUCACCCAAAAACUAAAGAAAAGAAAAAUCCCAAACAUCUGAGAAAGAAGAGGACGCAGACUGUCCUUGGGUCUAGAAGGCUUAUAAGUGCAUAUACACGUUUGACUGAGAAGUGAAAGAUGUGGCUGUUGAUGAUUAGAGAAAGCCUUUGAGACAUACAAAACCAGUAGUUUAGUCAACAAUUAAGAGAGAUUGCGUGCCUGAAAAAAAGAUCCACUCGCACAGGUU